rnacentral:rRNA from 1 species
UCGAACGGCAGCACAGCCGGGGCAACCCGGUGGGUGGCGAGUGGCGGACGGGUGAGGAAUACAUGGGAAUCUGCCCUGUCGUGGGGGAUAACGUAGGGAAACUUACGCUAAUACCGCAUACGACCGGAAGGUGAAAGCGGCGGACCGCAAGGCGUCGCGCGACUGGAUGAGCCCAUGUCGGAUUAGCUAGUUGGCGGGGUAAAGGCCCACCAAGGCGACGAUCCGUAGCUGGUCUGAGAGGAUGAUCAGCCACACUGGAACUGAGACACGGUCCAAACUCCUACGGGAGGCAGCAGUGGGGAAUAUUGGACAAUGGGCGCAAGCCUGAUCCAGCCAUGCCACGUGAGUGAAGAAGGCCUUCGGGUUGUAAAGCUCUUUUGUCCGGAAAGAAAAGCCUUCGGUUAAUACCCGGGGGUGAUGACGGUACCGGAAGAAUAAGCACCGGCUAACUUCGUGCCAGCAGCCGCGGUAAUACGAAGGGUGCAAGCGUUA